UACAGAGGUCCCAAGCGUUGUUCGGAAUUACUGGGCGUAAAGCGUGCGCAGGCGGUUAUAUAAGACAGUUGUGAAAUCCCCGGGCUCAACCUGGGAAUUGCAUCUGUGACUGUAUAGCUAGAGUACGGUAGAGGGGGAUGGGAAUUCCGCGUGUAGCAGUGAAAUGCGUAGAUAUGCGGAGGAACACCGAUGGCGAAGGCAAUCCCCCUGGACCUGUACUGACGCUCAUGCACGAAAGCGUGGGGAGCAAACAGG
rnacentral:rRNA from 1 species